AGUGAACGCUGGCGGUAGGCCUAACACAUGCAAGUCGAACGGCAGCACAGUAAGAGCUUGCUCUUACGGGUGGCGAGUGGCGGACGGGUGAGGAAUACAUCGGAAUCUACUUUUUCGUGGGGAUAACGUAGGGGAACUUACGCUAAUACCGCAUACGACCUACGGGUGAAAGCAGGGGGUUUUUGGACCUUGCGCGAUUGAAUGAGCCGAUGUCGGAUUAGCUAGUUGGCGGGGUAAAGGCCCACCAAGGCGACGAUCCGUAGCUGGUCUGAGAGGAUGAUCAGCCACACUGGAACUGAGACACGGUCCAGACUCCUACGGGAGGCAGCAGUGGGGAAUAUUGGACAAUGGGCGCAAGCCUGAUCCAGCCAUACCGCGUGGGUGAAGAAGGCCUUCGGGUUGUAAAGCCCUUUUGUUGGGAAAGAAAAGCAGCAGGUUAAUACCCCGCUGUUCUGACGGUACCCAAAGAAUAAGCACCGGCUAACUUCGUG
rnacentral:rRNA from 1 species